GGUGAAGGUGCUCAGCAAGGGAAGGAGGGAAGAAGGGCACAGGGCAGCCCCUGGGGUGAAGAGGAUGGGGUCCAGGAGGAAAGAAUUGGAGGAGAACAUCUUUCUGACAGAAGCUAGAGAAAAUCCCAUGAAUUCCACAGAUGAAUGGACAAAGAUAGUCCAGAAGCUCCAUUUUCCACCUGUCAUCACAAGGACAGAAGGCAAUGCUUUAUGAGUAGUAUUCAAAAAUAAUAUUAAUUUUUAAGACAUUAUGGUAAGGGAAGCAAUAUUCGUGUGCAUGCAAUACACAAACAAAGACAUACUGUAAACAGCAAUAACAACAGCAAAACAGAAAAAUAAUCAGGAAUGCAAUAGAGGUACCGAAAAUUAUUUCUCUGAAUAUUUAUGUAUAAAUACAUAACAGAUGAUCCAAAUCAAUGCACCCUCCACAAUACUCUGUUUUUAUGUUGAAAUUUAAGGGGUUAACUGAUAGUUUAUGAGCUUAGAAGGAGAAAGAGUUAUUACCACGACACCAGGUCAGAUCUGUGUUAGAUUUUUAUGCCCAUGCUAUCACAACUGGUAUUAGGAUAAAAACACUGCAAUAUAAAAAUGAUUUAAAGUAAUUAAUUAAAUGGUAGGCUUCAUGGUGUAUGCCAUUUUAUCUUAGAAUCUGACACCUUUACAUGAACACAAUGAUCCAUUUACUGAGCUGUUACAGUCCCACUGUGACCAGAGCUUACCCACUGGGGAGAUAAAUGCUUUUCAAUUAUUCAAGAAUUGUCUGGAGACCCUAUGAAGCAGAGAACAAUUAAGAAAUAGAUGAUAAAUCUAAAGCAUAGAAUCAAAUGAUGGGCAUCAGGGAUGAAAAUGACAGUUGUCAGUAAAGCUGAGGAUUAAAAUCCUCUUCAUUUUAUCCCAGCCUGUUUGUUUAUUUUCACUUGAAAUGAAGUCUGCUAACUCCCUGAGACACUUUGAAGUCACCAACUCCUGCUGGUAAAUCUUUACCAUUCUAUUGAUUUCUUCACACACACACACACACACACACACACACACACACACACACACACACACGCACGCUGUAAAUAUCAAUUUAAAUAUCUAAAUUCUCUAGAACGAAGAAGACUCUGUCAAUGCCCAAACAAUGAUGGACUCACACAGCUGGCUUAGCAGCCUGGAUGGUGAGGUGCUGACAGUUUGAGUUGAAGCAGAAAGGAGUGGUCCGCACAAUAUACGCCAUGAAGAGUUUAUGUGCAGCAUGUGUAUGCAGGUGCCAAGAGAUACCAGAGGACAUUUGAUCUCAAGCAGCUGCAGCUAAUGUGUCCUCUGGGAACCAAACACAGGUCCUCUGCGGGACAGGUAAAU